GGGGUGACUCAGGGGGCGCUGACUCAGGGGCCGCCGCCCGCCCCGGCCGGGCGCGAGGUCACCUGUGCUCUGCUGGGUCGGGGGCUGCGAACCGCAACCGAAAGAAACCUGGGAAGAGCGGGAUUCUUCGCCCGGCCGCGCUGGGCCCAUGCAGCUCCGGCCCUGGGCGGGGGCUCCGGGGACCCUGCGGGCAUCUCGGGAAUGGCCCAGGACCCGGUUCCGCGGACCCGGGUGCGUCCACCUGCUGGGCGGCUUUUGCAGCAGCCAGGGCAGCCUGGGCCUUGGCUGGGAGUGGGAACCUGGCCGGUCCUCACCGCUUUCCAGUGACCAGGCUCUGCGUUUCCUCCCAGGGCUCCCAAAGCUCUGAGACAUUGCCACAACACCGAAGCCCGGCUGUGAAACAACCCUGACUCUACCGCAGGCUCCGGGUCCCUCGGCGGAAAGGCCGCCUUCAUAGCCACAGAAAAAGUUGUAAGGUCCAGGCGCGGAGCCCAGCCGGCGAUCGCAAAUGGAACGGUUGGCUGGGGCGCAGCGCAUGGAAAUGCCAGUUGGGACCCGCGGCUCUGCCAACAGCGGCGGAUCCGACUGAGAAGCUCGAACUGGUCCAGCACUCAGGAGGCUGAGACAGGAGGAUUGCCAUGUGUUUGAGGCCAGCCUGGGCUACAUAGCAAGACCUUGUCUAAAGAAAACAGAAAACAACAACAACACACAACAGAAACCCCAAAAGUGAUGGUGCUGAAUCUUCUUGGAGAGAGGAUCUCAUAGGCACUGGACAGAACCCGUGGAGUCCGGACAGGUCCACACUCCAGGGAGCGGACGCUCACAACCCCUGAACUCUUGUGUCUCUUAGAACCCAGUACCGUGAGGGUGCACAGCGGGCCCCAACACGCCAUCGAAUGGUUGUGGCCGCAAACUGGUAAGGCCGUUGUCACACCGCAGUGUCAAACCCUGCAACGCACGGAAGGUGCUCACUGCGUUCAGCAAACCCCACAAAGGUCUGCAUGGCAGGGAUUUGGUCGGCUUUUGCUGGCUGGGAGGACAACUCAGGGCCUGUACACAGCGGCCACCCCUAAUGUGUCGCAACCCGCGCUGGCUGCAGGCCCACCAGGCCUGGCGGUGUCCCGUUGCCAGCUGCUGGGGGGCGCUCUUCCUGCGCUCUUGAACAUCCCAUGCCUGAGGAAGGGCAGCCAUGGCUCUGAGAGAACAGUGGAAGGAUGGCGCCCGUUAGGCGCUCAUACUAGCAGGCCUGUUAGACUCUCUCGGAUUUCUCAUUGCACUUUGAAAACAGAACCCACGAAUCAUGCACGGCCCAUGCCAACAGGGAGCUGCGGAGCAGCCACCCUGAACCCUGGCUCCAGCUGCCUCUGACAGUGGCUCGCGGGCACGGACUCCGCAGCAAGCUCCUACCUUGGAAAACCGCAAUCAGCCCACCGAUCAAUAAAAACCUUCAAGUGGAUUAGGUCAAAAGAGCAAUAAAUCCUCUGCUUUCAGCAAAUAUUACUGAUCCCAGCCAUGCCUGCCCUGGAAGGAGUGGGGUAGACAAGGAGGCCGUGGACAGAUGGUGUCAGAAAACCGAGGAUCUGAACAAACCGCUCCCGAGGCACCGGAUGUCCCAAGCCUGCGGGACAUUCCUGGCCACCUUCCGUCCUAAGGCAGAAAACCUGGAUGCAUUCUGACCCUUUGUGCCUCACUUCUGAGGAAAAUAACCUUUCUGUCCUCUGUCUCCUUUGCUUAAUCCUAAGAAUAAUGGGAAAAGGAUAAAAACCCACACCAGCCUAGAAGUGUGGUCACCAGGCGAGAUGACCACAGCCUGGUGGCCAGGCACACUGGGCCCGCAGAGCUGAGUGGAUAAAGGUUAGGACAGGGCAGUAGGGCAGGGACACGUCCAGGGGGAGGGGCAUUCCCAGUACAGUGAAUGACACUAUCACCCAGUGCACAGAGCCAAUCAGAUGCUGUUUUGGACCAAUCAGAAUCUUGCUAUUUUCAAUCCCUCAUUUGAAUCUGCUGCUGUUCACAGGACCAGUCAGAAGAUGCUCUUCGCAAUCCUUCAUUUGCAUGUGGGCACAGCCAAUCAAGACUCUGCUCCUGAUCCUUCAUUUACAUAAGGCAAAAACCAGAGGCAUUUUGGGAUAGGACAGUUCAUUCCCAGGGAGUGUUUGAUAGGACGACUAUUCUAAUGCCUUCUUUACAUGAAGAGAGAGAGAUAAUGCAGGAAUUCCAGAUGCAAAAGACCUUUCCCCCUCCCGAAGGCUGCUGUGAGUGUAUUUUUCUGCCUUCAAUAAAUGUACACUCUUGCUGCCUUUUCUGAGUGUCUUGUUCAGGUCACCAAGAACCUGGAAAGAAGCCCCACGGGACCCUCCAUCCACUAACAUUUCGGACAGGAACUCCCAGGUGCUGGUCACCUCUGGAGGGUGGACUUGGUUUGAUAGCACCCACUCAGCGCUCGCCUCCCCCGGCCAGGCUGGGCCCUGGAGGCCAGGCAUCGCACCUGGGUGGGACAGUUGGCUGUGAAACUGAAGUGAGCAGGACCAUCUUCGCUGGCCUGGGGCUGUGAUACCCUUCACUGCUACUGACCCCCUCUGGGCCCACAUUAAAGUCCACCGUUCUGAGCUGGACAGCGGGAAUGAGCCCCUGUGCUGCAGAAGGGCCUGAGGGUCAGAGCUCAGGAGAUCCCAUUGCUUUCUUCCAUGUUUUGUUUCAGAAUGAACGUGCUCUUUGUGGUUGUUUCAUGAGGUUCAAGAAACUCCACAACCCAUUUGGCCACCCACUGAUCUUUUAGGGAAAGACCCCCCUAGAAGGAUUGGUCCAAGGGUUUAUUAAUUUGGAAGGAAGGCUAAUAAAGCGGAAAAGGAUUAUUUUGCUCCAGCCCAGCACUGUUUUAUUUAGAGCUGUACAGAGAGUGUUUCUGAUGCUGUGAUUUGUGCUGGCACUUUGCUUGGUGUCACAGCUAAAGUAGAUCAGGGCAUUGCUAUAGUGGAAAAACUCUUUAACUUCUCUAUUUUAUUAAGUCUUACAUUAUGUGAUGAUUCUUUAAACAUCCCCAAAAGUUUUGAGGUCCUUAAAAACAAACACUGGGAACAGUAAGGUGGCUUUAAUCAAGACAAGAAACUAGAGAGUAAAAUGGUAACUAAACAUUAACUUUGCAUAUUGCUGUAGUUUGGAUGUUAAAUAUCCCCCAAAGCCCAAGUGUUGAAGGCUCAGUCCCCAGCCUGCAGUGCAAUUGAGAAGUGGUGAGACCUUUAAGGGCAGGGCCUAGUGAAAGGGAGUUAGGUCAUUGGGGUAUGGCCUUGAAGGGACCUGAGCUCCGCCCCUUCCUGCUCCUUUCUGUCUGCUUCCUAGCUGCCAUGAUGUGAGCAGCUUUGCGCUUCCCCACACUCCUGUCAGGAGGAGCCACUUCACCCUAGGCCCCGAAUCCAGGGCCCCACUGCCUGUGUACUGAAACUUGUGACAGUGGGAGCUCCAAUUCUCCUUUAAGCUUGAUUGUCACAGGUGUUUGUUGCAGUGAGAGAAAGCUGACCUACCCUAGAUAUUGAUUUUGCAUGGAUUAAUCACAUCAGAUGAAAUGCAGAAUUCUGAUAGGAACUUGAGAAAGGGUGAGCAUGAAGGCCAUGUCUAGAAGUUGGCCUGGUUUGGAGUCUGACAGCUGAGACUUUGGUUUUAAGUGUCCCAGUGAGAGGCCUUCUCUCUGCCUGCUGGCACCUGCUGCUCUUACUCGACCCCUGCAUGGGGCACAGGGCAGCUCAAGGAGGACAGUCACUUUGGUGGCUCCUUGGAUUCGGCUGAGGAACAAGCUCACCCCUCAGCCACCAUGAAGCCGGCACUGAGGGGUCUUAUUUGCCAAAAGAGGCCUCGUUAGUAAGUGGUUUUGGUUGUGUUUUUAAGCUCUAUUUGCCAACUAUAGGGAUUAACUUUAAUUAGUUUUACAAAACUUAAAGGGUUUUAAAAACUUUUCAAAUAACUUGAGGAAAAUAAUAUACUGUUACUUCUCAUGGGAUUAAUUUCCUGAAAGGCUCCCUGCUUGGGCUUAGACAUAGAUUUUCUGCUCCCCACGCUUCUCCGCCCUCCAGACCUCUCAAGGUCAUUUCCACAGAAAUGCUUGGUUAAUUAGGGGUUCUAGUGACUGAGGAGAUACGAAUACAAAACUUGGUUGAAAAUGAGGAAGUUGUGUUGUAUGCCUGUAUCAGUUUUGCCAAAAUGGAUAUCACUAUUCUGUAAUACGAACAUGCACUUAAAAAAAAUAAAGAAUGGAGGCCCGGGGAUUUAGCUCAGUGGUUCCAGCACCUGCCUUGCAAACACAAGGUCCCGAGUUCGAUCCCUGGUACCAAAAAAAAAAAAGAAUGGAGAAGUUAGGUGUGGUGGCACACCUGUAAUUCCAGCACUGGGGAGGCUGAGGCAGCAGGGUCCCUGUGAGUUUGAGGCCAGGCUGGGUUCAAGACCAGUGAGUCCAAGACGAGCUUGGAAUACAUAGCAAGACUUUCUCUCAAAAAACCAAACAAAACCAAAAACAAAAACAAAACCAACAGCAAAACAAAAUGAACUCCAUCAGAAAAACGCAAUCAGAAAUAGACUCAAUCAAACAAAACUCAGAAAUUUCUUUUCUUUCUUCUCUUCCUCUCCCCCCCCCUUUUCCCUCCUCCCAUUUCUCCUUCUUUGAGACAGAUUCUCACUGUGUAGUUCAGGCUGGCCUUGAACUCACUAUGUAUACCAGGCUGGGCUCAGACUCACAGCAGUCCUCCUGCCUCAGCCUCCCAAGUGAUGAGAUUAUCCACCACAACCACCCCUGGCAUUAAUUUUUAAAAAAUACAUAAUUUGGAAUUUACUACUACUUUUUUGGCUUAAAGAAGAGUUUAUUUAUUGGUGACUAUAACCUACAUCUAUAUCCUGCCGAAAAAGUUUACACACUUCAGCAGUUUGUGGUACUAAUAAACGCCUGGAAGCUCAGGCCCACCACUGAGUACCUUGUGUGAUUGUAGAGGCCGAAGGUAACUUGCGUUAAUCUCAUGAUGUCUUGAUAAAUUCAGUAUUAAAAUAUUUGUAGAAGUUUUUCUUUUUCUGGUGCACACUUUUUCUGGCAGACUACGUAUGAUGAUGCACAUGUAUCUGUGAUUACCGUACAUAUAUAUGUGAAUACUCAGCUGAGGGUUUUAGCUUUAUUUUCCUGAACACUGUUGGGGAAAUUGAGACUGUGAGAGAUUCUUACUUGAAGAGCCUGUUUUGUGCUCUUGGCUCUUAACUACCCCUUGGCACUGCUGUAUUUAAUUCAUUUAACCUUCAAGGCCCCAGGGUCACCUGGCCUCGACCAAGUUCUACUGUUUCUGCCUGAAGGAAAGGAAGAGGGAGGGAGGAUCUCAUUUUGAGACCCGGAAGUUUGAUACUUGGCUUCCAAGUUGCGUUUGGUGCCUAGAUAUCCACCAGCAAGCGCUUAACGCGACACACGGGACCGCCCGGGCCAUUUGUAGACUGCGUGCUAGUUGCUGUCACUCACGUCCCACGGUCGGAUGGCGACAGCAGCACCCAUCUGCCCUGCGGUCUCCUGCUGUGUGCAAACAAGGCCGGGUGCCCUUGCGGUGGGGCCUGCUCUCUCAAGCUGUGUCCCCUCCAGAGGAGCCAGGGAGCCACAGAUGUGAAACAGCAGCCCCAGGCAGAGCCGUGGCAUCCGAUGUGUCCCGGACGGGGUCCUCACCCGAGGAGGAGCCGCAUGGAGAGGGCCCAACUCGGGAACGAAAGCACUGGAGUGGCGGUGGCCCCUUCCUCCGCUGUGGGCCGUGAACUGCAGGCUUCCAGGCCGCGCGAGACAGAGGCCCGCUUUCAUCUGCUGAACACGCUGCGCCCACUCCGCUGCGGGCUCUGAGCUCCGGAGUGCAGGGUGCACGGGGCUGGGUGGGGGUGGCUUCGCUGCAGGAAGCUCAGCUGUGGGACCAGAGCACGAGACCACAGGGGCCCGGAAGACAGGAACAGGUCAUGGCUGCUGUUAGGACGGAAUAAAUUGUCCAGAGAGUGACUGUGGGGUUACUGUCAAAAAUUAUGAUGAAAGUUGAAUCCCAAAGGGCAUAACAUCAAGUUACAACAACCCAUUCCAUAUUUCCUACUAUCAAUUUAUACUUUAGCAUAAUAAUCAAUUUGUAGCUGGCUAUGCAUCUCAGUAGCUGCACCUAGAGGAUAUAGGAGGCAAUUUUUGGUUUGCCCACUUGGUACAAAGAAUGGCAAGGUGUGUACACAUGUACAAAAGUGUCAAACUGGGAUUUAUCCACGCAAUGCUCUGGGCUAACAGGUUUUGCAUAUGUUUACCUGAGCAUCACAGGAGUAAAAUACACCCACACCACUCUUCUGACAUGGAAACAUAUAUUUUAUCAUAACGGAAUAUGGGUGUGACUCAUAGUAGCUGCACCUGGAGAAAGCAAAAACCCACCUGUGCUUCCACCCACUUGGCAGAUGAAUGGUAAGGUGUGUACAGGAGCUCCAAAGCAGCAACAGAAGUACCCGAGUUUAAUGCAAUGGCACAUGAAAAACCAGAUUUACAAGUUUUAGAAGAGCUCAAAAGUGAAUCAUGAAAUUAUUCAUGCAUGGAUGAUGGAGAUGAGACUUUGACAUUGCCCAUGUGAGCUUAAGUUCCUGUGACAGUGAAAUGGAGCAAGAAUCAAGUGAUACACAGAGAAUGCAGACCUCCUGGAUUCAGAUGAGAAGGAAAACAGCAAUGUGAGUGCUUAUUUGACUGGUUGAAAUGUUGCAAAAUGGUUGUGCAACCAAUGGAACAAUUCAGUGUUAGAACUAGGUCUGAAAAUAUAGUGAGGAUCUUGGCUGGGGUGAAAUUUAUUGGACAGAAUGCCAGCACUGCCAUUCAAUGUUGGAAAUUGUAACAGAAGAAAUGCUACAAGAUGUUGUGAAAUACACAAAGGCUGAAGUAUGAGUAAAAUGUUCUGUAUACAUAAAUAGCCACAUUAAAAAAUGUAUUUAUUAUGACAUUGACAGAGUUCUCUACCAGACAAAAUGGCCCCAAAGGUCCUACAUUCUAAAAUGGCUCCUGUUCCUAAAAUGGUUCCCGAUUACAGAAAUGAGCCACUUUGGAAAAGUGAAACCUGCCCCCUCUGGAGAAGCAAAAGCUAACUUGUCUCUCCACCCUGCUACCCACGUGAUCCUCCCCUUCCAGUCACCUGCUCAACUCUUAGGAUACUCUCCCCACUGCACACACCCCCAUAUAAGCCUCACCCCAGUUAGUUUUGCUCUUUCUCGCCAUUGUUUGAGGCAGCUGGGCAGCUCCCUCCCCAAAAAGCCCUGCCUUGGGUGCUCCUGUUUCAGCUUGUUAUCUUGCAGACACCUCACUAACUGAACUAAAAGUAUUCAUAGGUCUGCUGUACUCAGCAGGGAUUUCUCAUGGCAAUCACAGGAAUGCAAAAGACUUAUGGAAAAGCGAUUGGUCAAAAUAUGGCAUAAACUGGUGCCUAUCAAGGGCCUUUAGAUAGACCCUCUGGAGAGUAACUCUAACUG